rfam:Paraburkholderia susongensis strain LMG 29540 genome assembly, contig: Ga0139082_104
ACGUAAGGACGACCUUACGCUUGCAUCGAUCAUCGGGGACGGCCCCU